rnacentral:rRNA from 1 species
GACGAACGCUGGCGGCGUGCUUAACACAUGCAAGUCGAACGGUGAUGCUCCAGCUUGCUGGAGUGGAUCAGUGGCGAACGGGUGAGUAACACGUGAGCAACCUGCCCCAGACUCUGGAAUAAGCGCUGGAAACGGCGUCUAAUACUGGAUACGAAACUGGCCCGCAGGGGCAUGGUUUGGAAAGUUUUUCGGUUUGGGAUGGGCUCGCGGCCUAUCAGCUUGUUGGGGAGGUAAUGGCUCACCAAGGCGACGACGGGUAGCCGGCCUGAGAGGGCGACCGGCCACACUGGGACUGAGACACGGCCCAGACUCCUACGGGAGGCAGCAGUGGGGAAUAUUGCACAAUGGGCGAAAGCCUGAUGCAGCGACGCCGCGUGAGGGAUGACGGCCUUCGGGUUGUAAACCUCUUUCAGCAGGGAAGAAGCGAAAGUGACGGUACCUGCAGAAGAAGCACCGGCUAACUACGUG